GAUGAACGCUAGCGGCAGGCUUAACACAUGCAAGUCGAGGGGUAUUGGUUUUCGGACCAAGAGACCGGCGCACGGGUGCGUAACGCGUAUGCAAUCUACCUUUUGCAGAGGGAUAGCCCCAGAGAAAUUUGGGAUUAAUACCUCAUAGUAUAGUACUUUGGCAUCAAGGAACUAUUAAAGUCACAACGGCAAAAGAUGAGCAUGCGUCCCAUUAGCUAGUUGGUAAGGUAACGGCUUACCAAGGCUACGAUGGGUAGGGGUCCUGAGAGGGAGAUCCCCCACACUGGUACUGAGACACGGACCAGACUCCUACGGGAGGCAGCAG
rnacentral:rRNA from 1 species